rnacentral:rRNA from 1 species
CGGCAGGCCUAACACAUGCAAGUCGAGGGGUAGAGGGUGCUUGCACCCUUGAGACCGGCGCACGGGUGCGUAACGCGUAUGCAACCUACCUAUUGCAGGGGAAUAGCCCAGGGAAACUUGGAUUAAUGCCCCAUAGUCCAUAUUGAGAGCAUUUGAGAUAUGGUAAAGAUUUAUCGGCAAUAGAUGGGCAUGCGUCCCAUUAGCUAGUUGGUAUGGUAACGGCAUACCAAGGCUACGAUGGGUAGGGGCCCUGAGAGGGGGAUCCCCCACACUGGUACUGAGACACGGACCAGACUCCUACGGGAGGCAGCAGUGAGGAAUAUUGGACAAUGGGCGGGAGCCUGAUCCAGCCAUGCCGCGUGCAGGAAGACUGCCCUAUGGGUUGUAAACUGCUUUUUUACGGGAAGAAACACCCCCACGUGUGGGGGCUUGACGGUACCGUACGAAUAAGGACCGGCUAACUCCGUGCCAGCAGCCGCGGUAAUACGGAGGGUCCGAGCGUUAUCCGGAAUCAUUGGGUUUAAAGGGUCCGUAGGCGGGCGUCUAAGUCAGUGGUGAAAUCUCGCGGCUCAACCGUGAAAAUUGCCAUUGAUACUGGUCGCCUUGAAUUAGUGUGAAGUGGCUAGAAUAUGUAGUGUAGCGGUGAAAUGCUUAGAUAUUACAUAGAAUACCGAUUGCGAAGGCAGGUCACUAACACUAUAUUGACGCUGAUGGACGAAAGCGUGGGGAGCGAACAGGAUUAGAUACCCUGGUAGUCCACGCCGUAAACGAUGGAUACUAGCUGUCCGGCCUGCAUUGGUAGGCUGGGUGGCCAAGCGAAAGUGAUAAGUAUCCCACCUGGGGAGUACGUUCGCAAGAAUGAAACUCAAAGGAAUUGACGGGGGCCCGCACAAGCGGUGGAGCAUGUGGUUUAAUUCGAUGAUACGCGAGGAACCUUACCAGGGCUUAAAUGUAGUCUGACAGGGGUGGAAACACCCCCUUCUUCGGACAGACUGCAAGGUGCUGCAUGGUUGUCGUCAGCUCGUGCCGUGAGGUGUCAGGUUAAGUCCUAUAACGAGCGCAACCCCUGUCGUUAGUUGCCAGCAUGUAAAGAUGGGAACUCUAACGAGACUGCCGGUGCAAACCGUGAGGAAGGUGGGGAUGACGUCAAAUCAUCACGGCCCUUACGUCCUGGGCCACACACGUGCUACAAUGGCAGGUACAAUGGGCAGCCACGCCGCAAGGCGGAGCGAAUCCACAAAACCUGUCUCAGUUCGGAUCGGGGUCUGCAACUCGACCCCGUGAAGCUGGAAUCGCUAGUAAUCGGAUAUCAGCCAUGAUCCGGUGAAUACGUUCCCGGGCCUUGUACACACCGCCCGUCAAGCCAUGGAAGCUGGAAGCACCUGAAGUCCGUCACCGCGAGGAGCGGCCUAGGGUGAAGC